GUAACACUCAGCGCGAGCGUCCGCAGCUUCAUUCUUCAAGGGAUGACAGCAUUGUGAUCACAAACCUUCAAAGGAUCUUCUGUCUUCAAGGCAAAAUGUUUUUAAAAAGCCAAAAAGUAGUCAUAAGAAACUGCUAACAGAAUAACGAGGAAUGUAAAAUGUCAGCCUUCACCUAUUAAUAAUUGUUACAGCAUAUUACGUCUCUGACUGAAUCUUCUACAAACAAGCAAUUAAGGUAAUCUUCAUCACAGGAGGUAGUUUGAAGAAGUCAAAGCCACAACGUAUUUCAAACAGCUGGGGAACAGCAGAAAUACUGGAGGAAAAAGCCAACAUCCUGUGAGCUGGUGUUAUUGUAGAAUUUAAAAAUAACUGUCGAGAUGGAACACAAUCAUUUAUGAGGCACCAAAUUAGAUUCUUGGGUCGCUACAGUUGUUCAGAGGACAGAACGGAGAUUUCUAGAUGUUACCUUGGCAAUGAAGUAAAGCAAUUGCUUGUGGACGUUGUUAGCUUGUGAAGGUGGUCAAGAUUCAAAUUCGCAGGUCAUCAUAGAGGGGAAAAUAAAACUUCCAAAGUGUU